rnacentral:rRNA from 1 species
UCGGGAAUCUUCGGCAAUGGACGAAAGUCUGACCGAGCAACGCCGCGUGAGUGAAGAAGGUUUUCGGAUCGUAAAACUCUGUUGUUAGAGAAGAACAAGGACGUUAGUAACUGAACGUCCCCUGCCGGUAUCUAACCAGAAAGCCACGGCUAACUACGUGCCAGCAGCCGCGGUAAUACGUAGGUGGCAAGCGUUGUCCGGAUUUAUUGGGCGUAAAGCGAGCGCAGGCGGUUUCUUAAGUCUGAUGUGAAAGCCCCCGGCUCAACCGGGGAGGGUCAUUGGAAACUGGGAGACUUGAGUGCAGAAGAGGAGAGUGGAAUUCCAUGGGUAGCGGUGAAAUGCGUAGAUAUAUGGAGGAACACCAGUGGAGAAGGCGGCUCUCUGGUCUGUAACUGACGCGGAGGCUCGAAAGCGUGGGGAGCAAACAGG